CUGACUCCCGAGAGCUGGAGCGCCCUGUCAUCUGUGACUGUACAGCCUUCAUUCCAUGACCCAGGCUGAUGGAGCAGCCUCUAUCUGGAAUGUUUCUGAUGUCAGAACAGAGAAGAGAGAGAGCAGGAUGGAGGUAUAUGAUGGACCUAAAGUUUCUACUCAGAACUGUGAGGAUAUGGAAAGUGGUUGGUGAGUUUAUCUU